rnacentral:rRNA from 1 species
CAACUUUCAGCAAUGGAUCUCUUGGUUCUCGCAUCGAUGAAGAACGCAGCGAAYCCGYGAUAAGUAAUGUGAAUUGCAGAUUUUCAGUGAAUCAUCGAAUCUUUGAACGCACCUUGCGCCCCUUGGUAUUCCGAGGGGCAUGCCUGUUUGAGUGUCAUU